CAGCUGCCAAAACAAAGGAAUAGAAAUGGAAGAGUUAGAGGCAGUGUUAUGCUAGAGCUGUCCCUUAGCGAGCUGAUUUUAAAGCUUGAAAUCGGCCAUGGAUGAAUUCUUGGCCUGAAAAAGGGGAAUCAAAAGACGUGCUUUCCUGUGCUUCAGCUGCAAUGUCUAUUUCUCAAGACGCUGAAAAAGAUGAUUUAGAGUUUUAUGAUUAAUGGAAGGGAGGAAUCUACUCUAAAGAAAUUGGAUAAUACUAUAAAUAAGAAAUAAAAAUUAUUUGACAAAAGCUAUCUUCCCCUUAGGGAUUAUAUGUACUACUGAUUUACCUUACUGUAUCUUAUUCAACA
rnacentral:lncRNA from 1 species